CGAGUGGGGGAAGGACAGAGAGAGGAGACACAGAAUCCUAAGUAGGCUCCAGGCUCUGAGCUGUCAGCACAGAGAGCCUGGUGCAGGGCUUGAACUCACGAAGAGCAAGAUCAUGACCUGAGCUGAAGUCAGACGCUUAACCGACUGAGCCACCCAGGCACUCCUUUCUUCAAAUACUUUUAUACCACUUCACACAUCAUGUGAGGCCCUUUAAGCUAAAAAAGCUGAGUGAAGACAGUCUGACUAAGCAGCCUGAAGAAGUUUUUGAUGUAUUAGAGAAACUUGGAGAAGGGUCUUACGGAAGUGUAUUUAAAGCAAUACAUAAGGAAUCUGGUCAGGUUGUGGCAAUUAAACAAGUACCUGUUGAGUCGGAUCUUCAGGAAAUAAUCAAAGAAAUUUCCAUAAUGCAACAAUGUGACAGGUAUGAAGAGAUCUUAUUUCUUUAUUUACCUUCAUUCUGAUGAGUUUUGCUAACAAUAUGUAAGAAAAUGUAUUCUUUGGACAUCUGGUUAGCUUUCUGACUUUCCAUCUGAAGUGAGACUAAUCCUUCAAGGAAGAUAAGGAUAGUUUUGUGGUGUUGUCUUUAGGACUUACAGUUCUAAGGGGGAAAUAAUCUUAUAAAGCAACAUAUGGUGGCAGAAAAUACUUAAGCCAUUUUCUUAUUUUCAGGGCAAAUUAUGGGUGAAAAUUAUUUUUUAAUGUGAAGGGGGAUCAUUUAACAGUCUUUUUUUAUAUAAUUGUUUUUAGUAAUUAAAAACAGCCAUGUUUUAUGUAACUCUAAUUCAUUCAACAGACAUUUACUGAGCAUUGCUGGUGGGCCAGCUGCUACUAUGCCAGAGUCCAGGAAUACCAAAAGAACUAAACUAUUGCUUUUCUUCUUGAGGGGCUAGUGAUCUAGUUGGGAAGACAGAUACUUACAUAAAUAGCUAUAUAAUACAGCACAGUCCCUGUACUCCCUGGUGCAUGGGGUGAUGUGAGAGCAAGGAGGCAGGGUACAUUAACUCCCAGCCAGCAGUUAUGAAGUCUGGCAUGCUGAGGAAGAGUUAAUUAAAAUUGUGGAGAAAUGGAGGGAUGAGAGAGAGUGAAGAGAAUUAUAGGUAGACAGGUGAAAAUCAGCUCACUGGUAUGUGCUGUUCCGACAAGGUUUAGAAUUACCGGAGUGGAAGGCAUGAGACAGAGAUUGGUGUGAAAUGGGAUAGGGAAAUGGAGCUGACCGUGAAGUGUCUUAUGUGCCCUGUUAAGUAGUUUGGUCAGAAACGCAGAGUUUAUGAAUUAGGACUAUGUUUAGCCUAUAGUUACUUAGUUAAAGAGGGAUUUCAUUACUCUCCCUUUACAGUGGUCUCCAGGUAGGGUUGGUAUAGCAGCAUAAAGUAACCACAGUCUCAGACUCAGACUUUUUUUCUUAUACUGUGCUAUCCUUAUUACGUGGCUUGUGUCCUCAUGCUUAUUAUCUUGUGGUUCGAAGAGGGCUGCUCUUGCUCCAGCCUUAUGUUUAUGUUCCAGUAGAAGAAAAAAGGGAAAAGGCAGGAAAGAGCUUUCCCAGAAACCUUCAACUUACGUUUUAAUCAUCAAAAUUGAUUGAGCCACAUGGUAUAUUACAGCUGAUGACUCAGGGGAAUCUGGACACAUUGUCACCUCUAAUCCGAUCAGGGCCCAAUAUAUUAGUAAGAGGUCUAUGAAAAACUUUCUCUUCCAAAAGUGUAUAAGGUCCAUAUAUUAUAAGCCCUUUGGCUAAUGAGGUGACUGAAUAAUCAUAGAAGAACUUUGUUGCUUGAGUCUGUUCAGUUUUGCUUUUCUUUAUUGUGUACUACAUAUUUAGAUUAUAUAUUUUCAAUAAAGGCUGUAUAACUGGAAAUUCAAGUGGUUAUAGAAAAAAAUACAUUCCUCGGCUCCCAGAUCAAAAUAUGUAAUUCAAAGUUUUCCCACACCUUACUAUUAAUCUGGUAAUUUGAUAAGAAUAUGGUUACCACAGUUUGUUGUAGAAAAGAAAGAUUGAGCAUAGAAUAGUGUUGGGCCCAUCAGGGGCUUAAUACUUGCAUGUUGCUAUUACUACUUUAUUCUUAUGAUUAAGUAUAGUUUAGGGACUGCUGUUGUCCUUUAGAGGUUUUAACUUGAGUGUGCUCUGGGAAAGGCAGGGUUGCAAAUAUUACCUAUCAUACACAUCUUCCUCUAAUCUUUGUGCAUCUUAGGACCAAUCUGCUCUUGCUCACAUUUCUUUCUCAGCUACCUGUUUGUUUCUUUUGCUUUCAGUUUUCACUCUUCCAACCCAUUUUCUACCCUAAAACUGGAGUGAUCUUUCUAAAAUGCAAAUCUAAUUAAGCCAUUCCUUGUUUAAAACCUUAAAUGCUUUCCCAUUGCCUGGAUAGAUCCAACCUCCUAAGCAUGGCAUAUAAAGUCCUUUAUAAUUGUGCCUGUGCUUCCAGUCUUCUGUCUUACCUGAGUUUCUCUUUUAAGCACACUUUUACCUGCAUUCUCUGUCACCUGACUCUUAAAUUCUGUGAUUUUGGGAGUAUGUCUUAGUAAGUGCCCUGGAUUUUGCCACACUGUGGUUACUCAAAUAUGGGAAUUACUGAUUCUAGUCCGGGCGACUCAACUGGAGAAUACCCAGAAGGAACUUCGCAUUUAACAUUCUUAGACCAAAUUUUUAAUUAUUGCAGAGAAGCCUCUGCAGUUCCUGUUCUGUUAAUGGCAUCAUCACCUACUUAGUCUCCCAACAACAAAAUUGAGAGUCAUCUUUGUUUCUUUUUCUGAUACUUCUGAGGGCGCUAUCUUAUAGAUUCUCCUUCUGAAAUGUCUUCACUAUCUUUGUCCUUCUCUUCAUUUCCUGAGAGGGACUCAUAUUACCACACGUUACAAUGCCUAGCACUACUGUACUUUUUGUUGAGUGAAUGUGAAUGGAUAUGGUAUGAAUAAGGAAUAUGGAAGAGUGUUGUAGGUUGAGGGAACCCUAGGGAAAUCUGGUCCUUUGUCAUUAUAUAUUUUCAACUACUCAGGAGAAAGAAGAGUAAAGAAUAAAAGGGGAAAGAAAUGUGAAUAAAGUUCUAGAAAUUUUGUACCACUUUAUAGCAGAAUGUCUUGUACAUGGUAGGGAUGUCUCAAAUAUUUGUUGACUGAAAUAUGGUGGAACAAUUACUGGUAAAAAAUAGUUCAUGCCUUUUGGAUUUUACUUUCAGAUUCACUAUUCACAUGAAAUAGUGAAGAAUCAGAAAAAUUAGUAGGUUAAAAGAUCCUAAAAAUACUAAAAGAUAGGACAAGUAAAAAAUAAACCAGGAAAUGACAGGGCAAGCAUUACAUUUUAGCUACUAAUUACUAGUGUUAAUUUAGAUGUGGUAUCAGGAAACUAACAUGUAAAUGAUUUGUAAGAGAACAGUACAAAUUGAAAAAUUCCCACUUAGAGAAAAUGAGAUUUGCAUUUUUGAAAUUAAAAUAAGGUCUAUUCAGCUAUAUGAACAUUUGGCAAAUUGUCUAUAAAAAGAGACCAGAGGGUGUUUAAAUUUUUUUGUUCAUUUUAGUAAAUAUUAAACAUGUGUUUAAUACUGCAUUUUGGCAUAAAUAUUUGAGGGAGCCCAUCUCCAUUGUUUAUUACAGAAUCUUUUGUGUCUAGUCCAGUGCUUGGCACAGAGUAGACGUUUAAUAAAUAUUUGUUGAAUAUAUAAAUCAUAGAAUGUUAAUGUUAGGCUAGAUCUCUGUAGGGUCUAUUAAUUUAGAGUUUUGCAAAUGUAUUCUGCUCUAAGGAGGUGCGGGUAUUUUCCUCCAACAGUGAAGGAUUGAGCAGAAUGAGAAACUUCAGCCAUUGCUUUUAUCUUUUUUCUAUACUGGGGCUCAUUCUAAAAUUUUAUUUGAGGAAAAGACUCUUCGUGCUAAAGCAUAUUUUAGAACUUAAAAAAUUUUACAUAUACAGAAAAUGGGACCUAGAGAUUUUACAUGAAUUGUCCCAAAUCACACAGCUAGUUAGUGACUGGGAUGCCAUAAGAACACACAUUUGCUACUCUAGCCUGUGCUGAAGAAAGCAGGGUCUACAGAAAGAUUCCAGCACUUCAGACUGAAGCACUCUUCAAGGCAUUGCUAGCGGUGGAGGCAGGAGCUGGUCAGUAAUAGUUAGGAAUACUGUGUGCUAGGUAAUUUGGAGACAAGGGAACCACAGUUGAUAUGGCCCCUAUAUUCCUUGUCCUUAUACUACUCAUGGAACUUCUCCUGUGUAAACCAGGAGAAAUGUGUUGUUACCACAUGCAUCAAGGCACACAAUUAUUCACUUAUUUAUGCACUCAACUAAUAUAUAUUGAGUACAUACUGGUAAGGGGAGCCUUUAUGCAUUGCUCACAGGAGAUACAACAAUGAAGGAGUCUUAGACUUUAGAGGGACUUUCAGUUAGAUGGGAGAGGCAGAUGAAUGGAUGGACUGUUUUAUACAGUGUGAUAAGAGCUGGGAUGGGCUAAUUAUGGAAACUAUGUAGGUCGGAAUACAUAUCCAACACCUCACCAUUGGAGAUUCAGGGAAGGCUACUCCAGGGAGGUCAUACCCAAACUAAGUGAUUUAGAAUUACUUAGAUUUGGGGGGCAAAGAGGAGAGGCAAUCCAUGUGUUGGGAAUAGCACAUUUUUAGCUGGUCUGCUUAGAGGCUUCUACCAGAGUAGUCCCUCUCCUGCCUGUUCUAUUUGCUGAUGUUUCUGGGUAAAAUUCCAUUAAAGCCCUGUUAGUGAGGGCCUUCCCCCCCCCCCCACAAAAAAAAGUUUGAAAAUCACCAUACUGAAGGAUUUGUGAUGAAUUUUGGCAAUUUGUAUUAGUUCAUGUAUAUGUAUAUUCAUUUUUGGGUGGGCCCAGAAAUAAAUUGCUGUGAUUUAGAUUUAUAUUGGAAACAGCUCAGUUUUCAUAGGAGAGUAUUCACAUAGCCUUUGUAAAAACACUGUGUUACCCCUAUUAGGUUUAGAGCACUGUUAAGAUGGUAGAAGGAUGUUAGUGAAACUUCUGUAAUGAAAAAUAGCCAUUUCUUAGUAUUUUAAUUUUUACAUGCUCAUAAUGGGAGG